rnacentral:rRNA from 1 species
AACGAACGCUGGCGGCAUGCCUAACACAUGCAAGUCGAACGAGACCUUCGGGUCUAGUGGCGCACGGGUGCGUAACGCGUGGGAACCGCCCUUAGGUUCGGAAUAACUCCCCGAAAGGGGUGCUAAUACCGGAUAAUGUCUUCGGUCCAAAGAUUUAUCGCCUUUGGAUGGGCCCGCGUUGGAUUAGCUAGUUGGUAGGGUAAAAGCCUACCAAGGCGACGAUCCAUAGCUGGUCUGAGAGGAUGAUCAGCCACACUGGGACUGAGACACGGCCCAGACUCCUACGGGAGGCAGCAGUGGGGAAUAUUGGACAAUGGGCGAAAGCCUGAUCCAGCAAUGCCGCGUGAGUGAUGAAGGCCUUAGGGUUGUAAAGCUCUUUUACCCGGGAUGAUAAUGACAGUACCGGGAGAAUAAGCGCCGGCUAACUCCGUG